rnacentral:rRNA from 1 species
ACCCAGACUCCUACGGGAGGCAGCAGUGGGGGAUAUUGCACAAUGGGGGGAACCCUGAUGCAGCGACGCCGCGUGGGUGAAGGAGCGUUUCGGCGCGUAAAGCCCUAUCGGCAGGGAAGAAGGAGGACGGUACCUGACUAAGAAGCCCCGGCUAACUACGUGCCAGCAGCCGCGGUAAUACGUAGGGGGCAAGCGUUAUCCGGAUUUACUGGGUGUAAAGGGAGCGUAGACGGCAGUGCAAGUCCGGAGUGAAAGCCCGGGGCUCAACCCUGGGACUGCUCUGGAAACUGUAAAGCUGGAGUGCGGGAGGGGCAGGCGGAAUUCCUGGUGUAGCGGUGAAAUGCGUAGAUAUCAGGAGGAACACCGGUGGCGAAGGCGGCCUGCUGGACUGCAACUGACGUUGAGGCCCGAAAGCGUGGGGAGCAAACAGGAUUAGAUACCCUAGUAG